CGCGCAGGCGGUCGUACAAGUCGCGUGUGAAAGCCCCCGGCUCAACUGGGGAGGGUCACGCGAUACUGUUCGACUCGAAGGCAGGAGAGGGAAGCGGAAUUCCCGGUGUAGUGGUGAAAUGCGUAGAUAUCGGGAGGAACACCAGUGGCGAAGGCGGCUUCCUGGCCUGUUCUUGACGCUGAGGCGCGAAAGCUAGGGUAAGCAAACG
rnacentral:rRNA from 1 species